AAACUAUUUCCCUCCCAUAAGUAAUUCAGAAUUCACUUUCCCGCUCACCCAAAUCUUCUCCUUCAGCCACAAUCCGCUCUCCUAUAUGGAGCUCACCAAAUUUGUUAACCCUAAAUUCAGAAUUUUGUACUCACGGCAUAAAAUACAAACCUCAACAACACCAAAUUGAGUUCACCCUUUCCAAAAUUGACUCGCUUUUCAUGUUAAACGGUGAUGGCCUCAUCUUUCUUACAUUCUUCAAGGGGUGAUGGGUAUGUAUGUUGAACCGACCACAGGGAAAUCUUCGCUAAGAAAUUCAUCGGUCUUCGAGUUAUAUGGUUUGUUAGGUUAUCAUCAAGACCCACCACAUGUGAAUGCCGCCGCAGAGACGGUUGAAGGCAAGAAUUGAUUGUCCGUCACCUAAAUCUAUCGCUCCUCCGUCGCAGCCGUCUCCUCCACCGCCUUUCGCCGUACAGCCACCAGAUCUGAGGCUAGGUUUUCAAGGGAGUGAGGAAAAUCCUGAACCGGAGAUUCAGAAAUGUGUUUAUAGAUUUGGAGUUGAGUUACGAGGAGCUGGUUUUGAUUUUGAUGUGAUAAGUUAGAAGAUUAUCUGAUGUUUAAUUCGAUGGAGUCAAAAGAGGAAGCACAUAGUGAUGAUGGAUCUUACGAGUUGGUGAAAGAAGAUCCAAACAUGAUACGAAGAAAGACACUGUGUCAUCGUCAAUAAGGUGGUGCCAUGAUAUUGGUCGUGAGCAUGCUGCAAAUAAUCCUCGACUAAGUAAAAACCGUUUUCCAGGUCAUGAUGAGAUUGGGCAAAACAACGUUACUCUUGUUAUACGCGAUAAAACAAGAGUGAAAAUGAUGGAAGUGAGUAGGAAAUCUGGGCAUGCUACACAAGCAAAUGGUGAAGGAUAGUUAGUGUUCACUCACAUGGUUUAAUGGAGUAUUGUAUUUCUCUUAGUGUUUUUUUUUUUUUUUGAAAUAUUGCAUGAGAUAUUGGUUUGUUAGUAUCAACAUUUAUGAAAUCUAUUGUU